rnacentral:rRNA from 1 species
UACGGAGGGAGCAAGCGUUACUCGGAAUUAUUGGGCGUAAAGGGCGCGUAGGCGAUUUGAAAAGCCUUGUGUGAAAGCCCCGAGCUUAACUCGGGAAGUGCACAAGAAACUGUUGAAUUUGAGUUCCGGAGAGGAAGGCAGAAUUCCCGGUGUAGCGGUGAAAUGCGUAGAUAUCGGGAGGAAUACCAGUGGCGAAGGCGGCCUUCUGGACGGAUACUGACGCUGAGGCGCGAAAGCCAGGGGAGCAAACGGG